rnacentral:lncRNA from 1 species
CAGCUCUGAUUUAACCCCUAGCCUGGGAAAUUCCAUAUACCACACAUUUGGCCCUAAAAAAAAAAAAAAAAAAAUAGGGCAGGAUGAAAAGAUAAGAGACACAUAAUUGAACUUAGGAGGCAUAUAUUAUAUGAGUAGUUCUUCUCACACUAUGACAUGUGUAAGAAUCAUUCGGAGAAUUUGUAAUUGCACUGACUCCUUAGUCCCACAUCCAGAAAUUUAGUGAUCUAAGGUAAAACCCAGUAAUUUGCAUUGUGAGAAAUUUCCGUCAUGAUGCUGAUGCUGCUGUUCUGAGGGCCACAUUUUGAAUAGCACUGCAUUAAGGUUUGGGACUUGAAGUUAGAAUAUGUUGUUCUCAAUUUUGGUUCAGCCACUUACUUGACUGUUGUCGCUUAAGCAAAGUUAUUACAUUUCUUAGGACAAUGCUAAAAAUAGUAUAUGUAGCAUUACUUACAAUCUUAUUAGAAUGUAGAUUCUGAUUUAGCUGGUCUGGAAUGGGGACUGAAUUUCUUCAUUUUCUUAGAAAAAAGUUUCCAGGGGAUACCCAUACUACUGGUCCAUGAACCUGACUCUGAUUAGCAAGCUCCUGUGCCAUUAUUUCUUCCAUACUUCACAUGUUUAUUCUCACAAUGAAAUAAUGACAUGGAAAUAGGGAGUUCCCAUUGUGGCGCAGCAGGAACAAAUCUGACUAGUAUCCAUGAGGAUGCAGGUUCUAUCCUUGGCCUUGCUCAGUGGGUAAACAAACCAGUGUUGCUAUGAGCUUCGGUGUAAGUCUCAGAUGCAGCUCGGAUCUCACAUUGAUGUGGCUAUGGUGUAGGCUGGCAUCUACAGCUCUGAUUCGACCCCUAGUCUCGGAAUUUAUAUAUGCUGUGAGUGUGGCCCUAGAAAGCAAAACAAACAACAACAGCAACAACAACAACAACAACAACAAAAAACCCAAAACUCAUAGAAAGGAAAUAGAAAAGCCACUUCUGCGUUUUGAGCCAACUAGGAGAAUUUUUGCAAAUUUAUAGAAACAGAGAAGUCAGGAAAAAUAACUGGCAUUAAAAAAUGUUGAUUAGUGGGAAAAGUAGCAGGCAGCUGAAAACAUAAGAUAGAAAUAGCUUGAGAAAAUUUAGUAUUGAGUUACCAAUUUAGGAGUUGUAUACAUAUGAUUGGAUGAUAUUUUUGAAUAUGUGGAUAUACAGAAAGAAAAGAGAUUAAGUACAGAAUCUGGGAAGAGAUAACAUUAGAGAGAGGUGAAGAGGAAGAGAGAUAUCACCAAAAGAGAGAUCACAUUCCAGCACGUUGUCCUAGAGACAUCCUAGUCCAACCCUGAGCUGUAGCAACAGAUUUUACAUCCUCAUGAUUGAGGAUAACAGUCGGUUGAAUUUUCCAGGCAUUCCCCAACUUGGUUAUUAUGGAAGCAUCCCAUUUAUGUGUGGGGUUUAUAAGCAGCUGUUCCAUGGAUGAUGGAAAAUACACAUCCAGGAUUUAUUAGUGUGUUGGAUCAAGUCACAGGCUUUGGAGAAAUAGAGCAAUUCAAGGAAAUCAUGAAUUUUAUAAAAGAUAAAAGGAAGAAGAUGUAAGGGAUUCUGCAAUUGGAUAUCCAUAAAAAAAGAUGUUGAGUCCUAGCCUUGUCAAUCAAUUUAGAUUGGACAUCUAUGAAGCUCAAGAGAAAAUUCAGUUCAGUAGCUUGUGAAGAGUGGUGUUUUUCACAGAGAGAGUUGAUCCAUUGUAUAGAAUAGUAAGUGGAUUUACUGACUGUUAAUAAUUGCAUAAUUUUAAAAGAAAAACAUGUUUGGGUAAAGACACUAAUUUAUUUGGCUAGGUCAUGAUGAUGUGAUGAUGUUCUUAAGGAUGGUUCCAAAUAAUGACCUUGGAUGCUGAGAAAGGUUAAUAAGAAUUCUUUUUUUCUUUCUUUUUUCUAUAAAUCAUUGGCUCUUUUGCUUUUCUAGUACUUGUAUUUCCCCUUUUAAAUAUGAAAGCACUCAGUGUUAAAAUCUGGACAUUUUAAAGUUUAAUUUGCAAUCAUCUAAACUCUAACAAAUCAACAAAGGUCUCUUUCUAACAUUGAUUUACUUUCAGAGGGUCAUUCAUAAACAUAUUCAUUACAGACACACUCCUCAAAUAUUCAAUAAUACAUCAAUCACUGAGCUGUUUAUGUUAAGAGACACAAUUGAAAUUGAACAAUAUAACUCAAUAAAAUUACUGGCCUUUUUAUUUAUUCAUCUAAACCCUAGUUGCUCAGUCACUGUAAACAGAUCCAUUGAAAACAAUUCACUUUUCUGUUGUUUCAUGAUUGAUCUUCUCAAACACAUGAUUAUUCUUAAUUCAGACAAAAUAUUUCAUUUCUUUAAGUACAUGAAAAGGAAUUAGAGCCAGCUGAAUGCAAUAAGGGAUGAGGAAGGAAGACGCUCAAUAAAAGGAAAUCAAACCUGUUUACAAGUCUGGGAUCUAAACACUUGUGAGGUUUGUGGUUUUGGAAACUAUAUUCAUAUGUUAAAGGAGAAAAUGAUGAAGGCUAGAUAAACAUGGGUUUAAAAUGGCCUGGGUCAGAUUCUCAUUCCUCCUUGCACCCUAAAUACCUCUUUUAAGCAAAGAAUGCCCCUUAAUUUCAAAGACAUCCUGUUCAGGCAAAACACACUAGCAUAUGCUGGAGAGAAAGAGAAGUUCAUUUUUUUCUGAAAGGAUCAAGAUAUAUCUAUUAUUCAGAAGACAUCAGUUAAAACAUGGACGUAUUCAUAAAAACAAUUAAGGUAUGUAGUGAUCAUGGGAUACACCAAAUUAUCAUCUCCUGCAUGCGAAUGGUAACUCUUAGUUUCCUAAAUCUGUUUUUUGUUUCCAGUUCUUCUACUUUGAAUAUAUGAUACUGAAAAUAUGCUAAAUGCAGCCCUUGGGCAAAUUAGAACCAGAGAUUGGUAAAACAUUAGGAAUUUUUUUUUUCCUUUUUCAAUUUGAAGUGUUGUGUUUAUUUAGAAAGUAAAGAAAGUUAAUAUAAGUACAUUCUGGAAUCAUAAGGAUGACCAUCUGCUAACUAAUUACUAUCCUGGAGUUUAAGUGCCCCUUAGGCAUAUUUAUAUAUUUAUUUACAUUUUAAACCUGAUCGUUGUUUAGAAGAAAUGAGAAUAAUAGGGUUUAAGCUAUUGUAUGUUGUAUAUGCAGUAUAUGUACAUAUAGUAUACUGCAUACUAGAUACGCAGUCAUAUUGGAUCAAUGUCACUUCAAGCGAUGGGUAACCAAAAAAGAUACUGACUGCAGGAGCCUUUUAAUUUGUAGGCUCUGAAAUUCUGAUGACUGGGGAAAAAGAAAAAGAAAGGCUGAAGGGAACUGGCAUUUUAAUUCCAUGUGGCUGAGCUUUUUAGUUGCAUUCAGACACUUCUAUUUUUAUUUCUUCAAGCUGGGCCCAUUUCCAAGUAGGAAGCUGUGGAAUUAUUGCUCUCACUCCCACAUUUAGUGCAAUCCCCUAUAAUACUAAGGUUAGGUCAGCCUUUUCCCUGUCCCCUGCAUUAAACCUACAAAUAGAUCAGAUUUCAUGAUAAGGAACAAGCAAAAAAGGACAAAAGAUUUUAAGUGAAACAUUGAACCAGCUUGACUUGAAUUUGAAUUGAAUCAACUGCAUAAUCUAAUGUUCACAUAGUGCUUUGGCCUCAGAUCCUGGUUGGUUUCACCCCAUAGCAUUUAAGUUAUUCUUUCUUUCUUUUCCUUCCUUUUUUUUUUUUUUUUCAUUGCCUUGCUGUGUGCUGAUACAUUUAAAAGGAUAGCUCUUUGUGUUUUAUGCAAUGGAAAAAUUGCUGUUGAAGUCUUAGCCUUGAAAGGCACAGACUGUAUCUAAAAACAGAAAAAAGCAAUCUUUUGCCCCGCCUCCAAUUGGUUGUUUGGAAACAGCUGUUGGACGCCAAGUUUGUACUUCACCCUUAUCAGCCCAUUUGGUGAGAUCAGAAUGUGCCUGAAUAACUCUGAAGGUCAAAAUAUGUUGACUGAAUUUUCUGCUGCUACCAUUCCAGAAAGCCAGCUCAUACUAUCCCUGACUGUCAACAGCAGCCAGGCUCUGCCCUUCUCAUGAUCAUGACACAUAGUGGAAGUAUCCCUGGUUUCUCUACAUCCAAAUCCCUGCAUGAUGUGUGUUACACUCAGGAUAAGCACAGCAGGAUGGCCUGCCAGUGGACCUGACAGAUCUGGCCUACUAACAUAUGGAAUUGCCCUCCAAAAUAAAACACACUAUUGCAUUGACUUGUCAUGAUUCAAGGCCCACAAUAUUUGUUUGAUCUUCUUUUUCUCAACCAUAGGUGUCUAAUUUAUGGUAUCUACAACAUUUGUCUGAGAGAACUGGGCAUUAUAAUUUUCAUAUUCAAGCUCAUAAUCAUUUUAGCUUUCCAAAAACGAUGCUGCAUUGGUCUUAAUUGCUUCUUGAGUUGAAGAUGUUCUUUCCAGCCCUUAUUUACAGUGCAGCUCAAAAUGCUUCCUAACAUGAACAGAGGGGUCUUUGAUUUUUAUAAUUAUUUAAUCAUUCAGUCUUUUUACAGAGUUGGAUCAUGCUAUAUUUUUACUUAGCUAUUAGAAAAUACUCACUGGGAGUUCUGUUGUGGCUCAGCGGAAACGAAUCUGACUAAUAUCCAUGAGGAUAUGGGUUUGAUCCCUGGCCUGCUCAGUGGGUUGGGAUCUGGUGUUCCUGUGGUUGUGGUGUAGGCCAGCAGCUGUAGCUCUGAUUCAGCCCCUAGCCUAGGAAUUUCCAUAUGCCACAGACACAGCC